GUAGGUUUAGCUCAGUGGUAGAGUGCAUGCUUAGCACACACGAGGUCCUGGGUUCAACCCCCACUACCUCCA
rnacentral:tRNA from 1 species